UUGUUGAAUAUUUGCUUUCAGAUUUUUUUUUAUUUACGACUUUUUACUUCCUGCAAUCAUGUCGGCAGAUGAAAUUAUUGAACGUACAAUUUUAAACAAUCUUCUUUAAUUUUUAAUCAGCUAUUGCAGUUUUUAUAAACCAUUGGCUUUCAAAUAUUCGGCUUUUGGUGAAUCAUGAUUAAUGAAAAUCCACAAAUGCCUGGUGGUUUUAUCGUGUUGUCUUUAUUUUUUAUCGAUUGCAUGAUGAUCUUGCGGUAUAUCAUUGAUAAUUGUUCUAAGUAUUGGUUCAGAAUAAAAACUUAAUCCAUGGUGUCGCAAUGAACAUUGUGUUAACCUAGAAAGUAUGAAUAAGGUUGAGAUAUUUUACAAUGCUACAC
rnacentral:lncRNA from 1 species